CUGCAGAAGAAGACACCGGCGUAACUACCCGUGCCAGCAGCCGCGGUAAUACGGAGGGUGCGAGCGUUAAUCGGAAUUACUGGGCGUAAAGCGCAUGCAGGUGGUUUGUUAAGUCAGAUGUGAAAGCCCGGGGCUCAACCUCGGAAUUGCAUUUGAAACUGGCAAACUAGAGUACUGUAGAGGGGGUAGAAUUUCAGGUGUAGCGGUGAAAUGCGUAGAGAUCUGAAGGAAUACCGGUGGCGAAGGCGGCCCCCUGGACAGAUACUGACACUCAGAUGCGAAAGCGUGGGGAGCAAACAGGAUUAGAUACCCUGGUAG
rnacentral:rRNA from 1 species